UUGUUGGUUUCGUGCGUCCAGCGUCGUUCUGCCACUUCUGCGUCGUUCAUUUUAGCUUGAGAAAUUUUCGCAGGUGAUUGAUUAAAAAUCCAAAGUAAUCUAGCUAUUCCGAACGGAUCUAGGCUCGUUUGAAGGAGGAGAUGAGAGCUAAGUGGCGUAAAAAGAGGAUGCGGAGGCUAAAGCGGAAGAGGAGGAAGAUGCGUGCGAGGUCUAAAUAAGCAGUUUCUUUCCACAAUCUUGCUGUGGGGAGAACCGACGUUUCACCAUUCGACGAACACUCCUGACUGAUUGAAAUUCCUCAGGAAGAUGAAUCUUCAAUGGACACGUUUUUCGCGUUGAGAGAAUUUUGUACAUGUAAAUCUUGUUUGGUUAAAUACAUCAACUACUCAAGUCAGAACUUAA